GGAGGGCUAGUCCUAACUGGUAAGGCAGCGGUCUUGAAAACCGCCGGGAGCGAUCCCCUGGGGGUUCGAAUCCCCCGCCCUCCGCCA
rnacentral:tRNA from 3 species